ACGUUAUGGUGGGCACUCUAAGGAGACUGCCGGUGACAACCGGAGGAAGGUGGGGAUGACGUCAAGUCAUCAUGGCCCUUACGGCCUGGGCUACACACGUGCUACAAUGGUCGGUACAAAGGGUUGCCAAGCCGCGAGGUGGAGCUAAUCCCAUAAAACCGAUCGUAGUCCGGAUCGCAGUCUGCAACUCGACUGCGUGAAGUCGGAAUCGCUAGUAAUCGUGAAUCAGAAUGUCACGGUGAAUACGUUCCCGGGCCUU
rnacentral:rRNA from 1 species